AGAGUUUGAUCCUGGCUCAGGAUGAACGCUAGCGGCAGGCUUAACACAUGCAAGUCGAGGGGCAGCGCGGGUAGCAAUACCUGGCGACCGGCGGAAGGGUGCGUAACGCGUGAGCAACUUGCCCGUAUCAGGGGGAUAAGCAUUGGAAACGAUGUCUAAUACCCCAUAACAACAGAGGCUGCAUGACCUUUGUUUGAAAGUUUCGGCGGAUACGGAUAGGCUCGCGAGACAUUAGCUAGUUGGCGGGGUAACGGCCCACCAAGGCGACGAUGUCUAGGGGUUCUGAGAGGAAGGUCCCCCACAUUGGAACUGAGACACGGUCCAAACUCCUACGGGAGGCAGCAGUGAGGAAUAUUGGUCAAUGGCCGAAAGGCUGAACCAGCCAUGCCGCGUGCAGGAAUAAGGCCCUAUGGGUCGUAAACUGCUUUUGUGGUGGAGCAAUAAGACGUACGCGUACGUCGAUGAGAGUACAUCACGAAUAAGCAUCGGCUAACUCCGUGCCAGCAGCCGCGGUAAUACGGAGGAUGCAAGCGUUAUCCGGAUUUAUUGGGUUUAAAGGGUGCGUAGGCAAAGGGUGCGUAGGCUGUUUGUCAAGUCAGGGGUGAAAUACCUGAGCCUAACUCAGGAACUGCCUUUGAUACUGGCAGGCUGGAAUACGGAUGCCGUGGGAGGAAUGAGUAGUGUAGCGGUGAAAUGCAUAGAUAUUACUCAGAACACCGAUUGCGAAGGCAUCUCACGAAUCCGUCAUUGACGCUGAGGCACGAAAGCGUGGGGAUCAAACAGGAUUAGAUACCCUGGUAGUCCACGCAGUAAACGAUGAUAACUAACCGUCGGCGAUAUAGUGUCGGUGGCCAAGCGAAAGCGAUAAGUUAUCCACCUGGGGAGUACGUUCGCAAGAAUGAAACUCAAAGGAAUUGACGGGGGCCCGCACAAGCGGAGGAACAUGUGGUUUAAUUCGAUGAUACGCGAGGAACCUUACCCGGGCUCGAACGGCAGGUGAAGAGAUCCAGAGAUGGUGACGUCCUUCGGGACACCUGUCGAGGUGCUGCAUGGUUGUCGUCAGCUCGUGCCGUGAGGUGUCGGCUCAAGUGCCAUAACGAGCGCAACCCUUGUCGUCAGUUGCCAUCAGGUGAAGC
rnacentral:rRNA from 1 species